rnacentral:lncRNA from 1 species
AUUUACCAAAUUUAAAAGGUGGAAAUUAGAUCAACAUAUUUUUGAGCUAAGAAUACUGAAUGCACUGUCUUAUUUCAUUGAUUAUCAUUUAGACAUAAGAAAUGUAUUUAUAUUUUUUUCCGGUAAAGAGAAUGAUGGUAGAUUAUAUAUGUUUAUAUCAGUAAGAAAGCAUAGUCCUAUCAAUUUAAUUAGAGAGAACACCUAAAAAUCCUCCUAAACAAUUCGAGUUUUGCAACUUUCAUACUUUACUAAUAGAGUAAUCGUAUUUAUUUUCCACUAUCAAUCUUUUUAUUUAUGUAG